rnacentral:lncRNA from 1 species
CCCCGGCGCCUGAGGUAAAGAACAACCCUAGGCCUGGCAAAAAUCAUCUGGUGGGGUUUUUUGGGGUGUAAACACCGGGAAACGGGCUGCCCCCCCUCGACUUGUCACGGUGUGUGUCUGUGUGUGUGUUGGCACCUCAUCUCCGACAUACUCUCUACAACUACGUGAAAGGACACUGUAGAGAGGUCGGUGCUGGUCUCUUCUCACAGGUAAUUAACGACAGAACGAGAGGGAAUGGCUUCAAGCUCCAACAGGGUAGGUUUAGAUUGAACAUUAGGAAAGAAUUUUUCACCGAAAGAGUGGUCGGGCGUUGGAACAGGCUGCCCAGGGAGGAGGUGGAGUCACCAUCCCUGGCUGUGUUUAAGGGCCGUUUAGAUGCAGUGCUAAGGGACAUGGUGUAGGGGAGGACUUUGUAGAGUAGGGGAGAUGGUUGGACUCGAUGAUCCCAACGGUCUCUUCCAAGCUAGACGAUUCUAUGAUUCCUGUAGGGCUAUGGCUAAUUACUCCCCUCUUUUAUGAUAGAUUGUGGGAGCAGCUUUGCUGGCUGAGCAUGGAGGAUAGAGUGGAGGUGUUUUCGGUGGAAAACGGCGCUGCCUUGUUACCCUCUGGACUGGUUCUCUGGAAUGUGCAUCUUAACGUGACUUGCUUUAUUAUCUACAUAAUGACAUCUCGGGCACCAGCAGGGAAUGGGGAACAGGCACCAGCGAUUCCUUCAAAACACCUCGAUGUGCAGGAGGGGAGGAAGGAGAUGGCGAAGCUUUGGAGACCCUUCCUGUCAGCCCUGUGGUGGCGAGGAGAGGGCUCAGCACCCCUGAAGUGCCACUGCCACAAGAGAGGAGCACCGGGGACAUGGGGCAGGCUGGCAAAUUGUGCCUUUAGGCUACAUCCCCUCGCCCAGCUGAAGAGCAAAGCCAGGCUUCCUGCUGGUGGCAUCGAGCGUAUCGUGGGGCUCGUCUUGAGCUGGGGUGAGUUUGCUGUGCUGGCCUGCCAGCUGGAAAAAUACAGCAGAAACACGCCGUUUGGUCACUGGGGAAUGGCAGCCCAAGGACUGACGGCAGUGGGGUUGGGGACUAGUGAGCUCCCACAGGGCCCUCAGGCUGCUCACCUGCCCACAGCUUCGGCAGCAUCAACGCAGUGAGGGAGGAGGUGGGAUCCCUGGGAAAUGUCAGUGGGUUGCCGAGACCUCACAGGAUAUUUUAAAUGAAGGAUUUGGCACAGUCUGUACACCAGAAGCAGAAGGGAAAGCAUUCCGGGACGUGGUACUUGACUUGGCAGGUUCUCAUUUGGCUAACUGAAAAAUCAUUCUUUUGGUUCAUAUUUAAUUCAUUCCAGUUGAUGCUUCAUUGUCAUGUGGUCAUUUGAUUUGUGGUGGGUCACACGUGGAUCACUGUGUAGUGGUGUUUCUACCUUUCUAAUCAUAGAAUCACGGGAUAAUUUAGGUUGGAAGUGACCUUAAAGCCCCCCCAGUGCCACCCCCUGCCCUGGGCAGGGACACCUCCCACCACACCAGGCUGCUCCAAGCCCCCUCCAACCUGCCCUUCAACCCCUCCAGGGAUGGGGCAGCCACAGCUUCUCGGGGCAACCUGGGCCAGGCUCUCACCACCCUCACCCCAAACAAGUUCUUCCCCACAGCUCAGCUCCAUCUCCCCUCUUGCAGGGUCAAACCCUUCCCCCUCCUCCUAUAAUCCCCUGUAUUCCGACAAGAAACCAAAUAAAGGCAAGUUAUUUUUAUUCUUGCUUUUUACU